rnacentral:rRNA from 1 species
AGUUUGAUCAUGGCUCAGGAUGAACGCUAGCGGCAGGCUUAAUACAUGCAAGUCGAGGGGCGGCAUGGUGUAGCAAUACACUGAUGGCGACCGGCAAACGGGUGCGGAACACGUACAGAACCUUCCUUCGAGCGGGGAAUAGCCCAGAGAAAUUUGGAUUAAUACCCCAUAGUAUAUUGGAGUGGCAUCACUUUAGUAUUAAAGAUUUAUCACUUGAAGAUGGCUGUGCGGCUGAUUAGGUAGUUGGCGGGGUAACGGCCCACCAAGCCUGCGAUCAGUAACUGGUGUGAGAGCACGACCAGUCACACGGGCACUGAGACACGGGCCCGACUCCUACGGGAGGCAGCAGUAAGGAAUAUUGGUCAAUGGACGAAAGUCUGAACCAGCCAUGCCGCGUGGAGGAUGAAGGUCCUCUGGAUUGUAAACUUCUUUUAUAUGGGACGAAAAAAGGGCUUUCUAGCUCGUCUGACGGUACCAUAUGAAUAAGCACCGGCUAACUCCGUG